GACGAACCACACAAACGUUAUUCGGAAUUACUGGGCUUAAAGGGUGCGUAGGCUGCGCAGAAAGUUGGGUGUGAAAUCCCUCGGCUCAACCGAGGAACUGCGCCCAAAAACUACUGUGCUCGAGGGAGACAGAGGUGAGCGGAACUUAGGGUGGAGCGGUGAAAUGCGUUGAUAUCCUAAGGAACACCCGUGGCGAAAGCGGCUCACUGGGUCUCUUCUGACGCUGAGGCACGAAAGCUAGGGUAGCGAACGGG
rnacentral:rRNA from 1 species